GGUGCGCAGCCUCAGGGUUACUAUCUACCCUAACCUGACCUGAAACGGGCUUAGGCUGCAACCGCAGAACCGCUGCUUCUUAGUGGAAAGUUUACGUGUACCACCAAACACCUAGCUUGUUCUUCACGGAAAUUGUAUUCUGAUUGACACUUUACAUAAGGUACAUAAAUAACACUAUACGGACCCCGUUCCAUGGCGCAGUACUUAUCUAACACGUAACGGUCACUUGACGAUAAAAAAAAAAAAAAAAAAAAAACCAUAGCGAGGGAAAAGGGUAUAUCAACGGAGAUUGAUGACGUUUUUUGCGCUCUACGGCACUGGCACAGGUAGUUCCCCUACCACCCCCAGAAGGAGGUAAAAUUUCAUUGUCGAAUCAAUUCCAUUCAUCCUCAUAUAAAGUAACCCCUGAAUCUCACAGGACUCUGUGACCUCUCUUUUCCUCUCGCCUCUUUAAAGCUUAAUUUCUUCUACGAAUAAUGUCUAGUGUUUAGAAUAAAAUCCUAAAAAGAGCUCUUCUGUGGUGCACAGGCAACAUCUAGCAAUUUUCUCUUGCGGCCGUUUUGGAUGGUGCCGCUCGCUAUUGGCUAGUGGCUCUUGUAGCACAGAUUUCUGGAUAACUCCCAGACAAUGGGAGGUAAAAAAGGGACGCAAGCCUGUCCCGAUACGGACCUCAUUUAAACACAAAUCUCGUUUAAACACAAAGAAAAAAGUUGCUUUACCUCCUAAAUAAGUGAAGGAACACCUUUAACAACUGAAUAUGGCAAGAGAAUGAUGGAGAGCUGCAUCAUGGCGGUGUGAGGGAAGGUGCAAGUGUGUGUCGGGCAGCCCAGAGAUGCUUGGCUUUCACCACCACCACCACCUCAUCUGCAACCUUCUCCACCACACCACACUCACGCAAUGCCAAUACCAGUGCCUGGGAAUAGAAACAGUUCCACCUUACACAGAAGCAAUAUGUUAACCUACACACUGGCACCUACCGAGCCUCAGUGUCUGGCAGUGGAACAAAUACUAGCCGGUCAAACCUCCCUGGCCGUAGCAGUGCUGGAUCUAGGGCUGAGGGACGAUUGGUGGCGGCCAGAACCAACACUCCAUCCUAAAGAAAAAGGGAAUAUUUAGAGGGUGAGACUGUCAUAUAGAUACAUUGACAGACACAGAUUAAUAGACAAAUGAGAUAGAGAUAGCUAAACUGAUUGAUAAGCAAAUAAGAAAUGGAUAUACAGAUUGACAGGUAAGAAUAAAUAAGUUAUCUUACAAACAAAUAGAUAAACAAGCAGAUAAGCAGAAAAAUAAACAGAUACUCGUAGACCAGAGACCUGUGUGCCAGUAGUGGUGGUAUUGGUGUGUGCCAGCAGAGAAGCACCUUGCAGACUGGUGGCACUGACCUCAGCCCCAUCCAGUGCCUGCAGGAGUUCAUUCAACAGACUCACUGCUACACUGCUGCCACCAUGAGACUCACGAGACCCAAAGAUUCCGUCUGGGAUGAAAAUAAGUGUAAUAAUUAGAUGUGGUGAUAACUGUAGUUGUGAAUGAGAAAAUGGAGGAAAAGCAUAGUGUUAUUUUCAGAGAAGAAAAAGAAAAAGAAAGGAAUGCUAAAAAAAAAGAAAUAGGAAGGUUCAUGUAAAUAUUGAACUGGCAUCACAUUAUCAUUAUCAGUCAAAGAAUGAAGACAAUAAAAUACAGAGAAAAGAGAUUUUAGCUUCAUCACUGCAUGCCACCAAAACCUGAAGAGCAAUUGAAGAGCACCCACAGCCUGCAGUAGCUGUCUCAGCACUCACCAAUCUCAUCAAUGAAGAGCACUGUCGGUUGAGCAAGACGCAGCGUGGAACAAAGCUGCCACUCUCUUCUCUGAUUCUCCAACAUAUGGUGAGAGGAGGUGAGCUGCUGUGGCUGUAAUGAAGGUGCAACCCCGGGAAGCAGCAAGAGAUGCAGCCAUACGGGUCUUGCCGCAUCCUCUUGGCCCAUACAGCAGCACACCUGUGGAGGAUGGAGGGCAAGAUGCUGGCAGACCAUAAACAAAAUCUCUAUAACUUUUAACUUCCACAAACUGAUAUACUGAGCACACAAGCUAACAUGUACGCGUGCGUGUGCACAAACACGCACGCACGCACACACACACACACACACACACACACACACACACACACAC